rnacentral:lncRNA from 1 species
AAAGGCUGAUGUCAGUCUAGAGGAAUCUCUGAAACAGAGGCUGCUAAAUUGAAAUGGAAACAAAGAUAGGGAAUGAGGGAAAAAGUAAAUCUGUAUAUUUAUUUUUGUGACAGGCUCGGAGGGAGAAGGUACAUCUGUAUAUUUUAUUUCCUGGAGGCCCAAGUCAGUAAUGAAGAUGGUUAUAAAUACCCUAUCACCCGUGGGGAAGCUGUAGCAGAGAAAUGCUGUGACUGCAGGACAAAGCAGAGGCCUGAAGAUGAAAAAAGGUUGCACAUUUUUCUGCAUUCCGUCUAAGGCUGAGAUAAGAACUCCAGGGCUGCAGAACACAAUAGGCUAUUCUUGUACCUCAGAUGUCACCGGGCACAGUGAGUAAUCUCUGUUCUUGACCCUACACCCACCUCGAGGCAGGAACUUUGUUAUCAUUCCCCAGAAGCAAAUCUAAGGCAGCGAAAGUUUAAUGAAUAAUGACGAUUUUACCCAACAGUUCUUGGGGAGACUGAACAGCUCGAGGUUCCCUGUGGAGAUAGUUUUGAUCCGUGGCGAAACCUAAUAACAAUUCUCAGGAGACCUCUGAGCUCUCUUCCCAGAGGGGGAAGGCUUCACAGUUCCUUUAUCUUUUCUCUGUGUUCUUAAGCACAAUGUUCUAAUUUCUUUCAAGGUCUUCUUCCAGCUAUUGCUCUGCCUGGCAAAAGAGGGACGAUUCUAGGCUCUGCUCCCUUCAGAAGGGACCCAGGAGUGGAGUGUGGAGAAGGCUGGAAAGUAACUGGUAACCCAAGCAUCUGAGGACUCACUUUGGCCUCAGCGGGAUCACUGGAGAGUUGGAAAAGAGCUCGUGGGGCAUCCCUCUCAGGCGCCAAGACAUCCUGGGACAGCUGGGCCUCAAGGACAUGGCCUCCUGGUUUAUCCGCCUCUGUGCACGGUUUAUGUCUGAGGGAAGGAAGGACCUGGGAAUGUGUUGGACUCCACCUGGUAGCUUUGUCAUUCAAAAGGUCAAGAGGUAGGAAGGAUUUCCAGCUUAGGCUUCUGCCACUUCCUUUCUCCUCUAGUCAGACCACCCCAGCCCAGGAAAUGGCUCCUCCCACUUUCCUCUACAGGCAAAGACCCCUGGGACCUACCUCAGACAAGCAAAUCCU